GAACAAGCACUCCCAAAUUAAAGGCUAUUUGGUAUGAAACAAAGGGCGGUGUAUAAUUCUAUCCGUCGAACACUUUGACAGUGGCUUUUAACUCUUACUUUUGCGCUUGAGAAGCAUUUUUCUUCCACAAAUGUUUCAAAUUUCCAUACUGUCUCAUUUUCUUUUGUAAUUACAUUGCUUUAUGGCUUGAACAUUUUUAUUUUCCAGUACCUAUAUAAAUACAAGCCAUCCGCGAAAAAGAAGCUCAAAAAAAAAAAGUCCACAAUAGGAUUCAAACCACCAGCCUAAGCCCGCUAAUUUCUGAUCCUCAGGCACAAACCUUAUUACUUUGCCAACUUGACACCUGUGAAUGACUCAUGAAGUAAAACAUCCAUAUUGUCAUUGUAGUUAGGUAUAAACCACUGGUUGAUUGGAGACAAAAUAAUUUGCACAGCGAGCUUACAGCAAGCAAUUACUUAUUCAAAUGACAGUUUUUUUCUGCGGGAAAUCACUGAUUUUGCUAACCAAAGGACUUGCUGUACUGGCCAUGUUAUCUAUUGAUGGAUAUUUUUUCAAGGCUGGACGGAGUUUUCUUUCUCACUUUCAUACAUACAUGCAUACAGUUUUAUUACAUGCUUUAUUUAUACUCUAGGACCUGGAACUUGUUAGGCUCCUAGCUUGUAGCUAAUGAGUCAAGUUUAAAAUAAAAUGUUUGUACAACACAUUAAAAGAAUAAAAUUCAGUUCAAGGAAAAGAAUCAUCAAUGUAGGAAAAACAUAUACAUAGUCAGGAGGUAAGGAGGUCGCUCGGUACGUACUCGUAAACGUCAUCUUACAAAGUGCGCAGUUUCAGCUAGAAACCUUUUGUCCAUUUGUCAUUUUGGUCAGUUUGGGACCUGCUGUUGUGUGAGUAAUUUCGAUCUUCUGAUGCAAGAAUUUUUUAGUGUAAUAAAUGAAUGAAGAUGUUUGUUAUAACUCAAGUCCUAAGGACAGAACCUUUGAUAUCAGAAUAGCCCAUGACUUGCUAGGGUAAUUUUAAAGGCAAGGAGACGUAAAGUAAAAUGUGGAUUUCAUCAACCCAUGUGACAGAAAUUAAGUUCAUUAUUGAUAGUUCUUUAACUCUGAAGUACUGUGUACAUGUACAUAACACAUUCAUUUUUGGUGGAACUCUUUUUUUUAUCAGAAAUAGCAUUUAAAACAGCUCAAUUGUUACACCUAAAUAAGCUUAAUGAUUUUUUGUAAGUGAAUGAUAGUUACAAAAUUUAUUUUGUGUCACGCAACGUAACUUCUCCUAAUCUUUUUUAUCUGAUUGUAUAUCACGAGUUGGCUUGAAAGCCCUUUUGACUUGCUAUCAAAAUGAGGAGUUCAGCAAUUAUUUAUAUCCAAGGUAGCCACAUGGAGUCCUCGACUGCCUAUUUUUGGAAAUAGGUUUUUUACAGGGAAGUGAAAGGAUUACACACCUUUCAAUGAAUCUACAAACUAACAAAUAACACUUUUCCUCUUCUAAUUCUAGAUUUGGGCAUCACAAGGUGGUGGUCAACACAAACCGCCUACAGAUCUAGUUUUUAGACAGAAGGCCAGCUGGGGUGUUGGAAAAGAAACAAAGACAGUUUUGAAGGACUCUGAAGGCCAGGAGGCAGCAACUGCAAUAAGUGAAGAAGUGAGCAUUUUAAGGACUGAUGAACCUGACAGUCGAGUGAUAAUGUCUGGACAACGUGAGGGAGAAACUUCAAAAGGCUGUUUAAUUCAGUAGUAAUCAGCAACUAAUUUUUGUACUUUAUUAGGUGGCCUUUCUUAGACUAAAACAGUUCGAAUUGAAAUAAUUAGGUUUAUAUCUUUGCUCUGUAAAAAGGAAUGCUUGUAGGUUCUUUGUUAUCGCUGUACUUGACUGUAAUCCAAUGUAAUUGUAUUACGAUCUCUACACAAAUUUUGGACACUGAGUGAUUGCCAACACAAGUUUGUUACUUUCCUUAACUUAUAGUUAACUCGGCAUCAUUAAUAUUUAAUUUAUGCUGGGGGAUGUGACCAGUUUACAACAGCUUCUGAAGCAUACAUCUAAGUCCCGCCACCAUCACCCAAUUCGCCUUGGUCGAACUUAAGAAUAAUAAUGAAUCACUAGUGGAGGCUGAAGUCAUUCAUUGUGUGAAAGCCUUUUCUUUUAUAGCAUAACAGAAGAAGUGAGUUUUCCUUUUUGAAAACGGCAAAAUAAUCAAAGUUGUAACUAUAGGCAAAAUAAUCAAGAUUGUAACUACAUUGCUUUCUGUCUCUUUUUGUUUUAUUUAGCCUCAAUUUCUCUUCCACGUCGUGAUAAACCUUUCUAUUUUUGCAAAUAUAGCGAAAGUGUCUUUAUUUGGAAAAGAUGUAUUCAGUGAGCGCCAAUGCAGUUUUUGUCUAUAUCGUAAAUAAACUUAGGUAAAUGGUUACCCAGAAUUGUGUUUUUUCUUCCUUAGCUGUGCAUUUUCUCUUCACUUAAGGCAACAAUCUAUAAAACUUAGAAGUUUUGACUCAUAAAAAAUUUGCCUCUGUUAGCAUUAACUAGCCCUCCCUCCCGGAAAGAAAUCACUUAAUCGUAGCCGCAAAAAUCACCAAAGUAUUUUUACGGGUCUACAGACCCUAUUUUUGGCCUUGUUCGGUAUAAGAACUGCGGAUGAAGAAUUUACUAAUGCAUCGACAUCAAACACCUUCGUAGUCAUAUACACAAUUAAGCAGUUGCGAAGAGAAAGCCUGAAAAAAAACUGAAUUCAAAGCAUGACCUGUGCGGUACUACCAGGUGGAAUGCUCUACGCACUGAGCUAUCAAGCCAAUUAGAAGCUGGUCACUUUGUUCGAGUGCCAUUCAAACUUUGCAAUAAAUAAACACAGUUAAAUAAUGAUUCACGAUGGAACAGACUGCUUCUACCAAGCGACCAACUAAUUAACAAACAGCUGAUAAAACACUUAACUAGCACGGAAGUUAACACUAGUUCACGAGUUUCAGCAACUCGUACCUGCGAAUAUACAGUUAGACUCCGCUAAUUCGAACCCGGUUAUUUCGAAUUCGCCGUUAUUUCGAAGUCAAAACCAUUUCCCUUUGAUUUACCCUUCAGUAAUUUUCUAUCGGCUAUUUCGAACCACUUUUCUUUUCACCUGAGAGUUCGAAAUAGUGGGGUUGAACUGUAUUGUGACUAUUCAGUGCAAUGCGUAAACGGAAUCGGGAGUGCACUUAAGAAUUCACGGGCGAAUCGUAGGUUAUUAAAGACAUCUUUUCUAGCAGUAAACAUGACAUAGUGCAUGUUCGGCUAACUAUGAAGACCGGACCUUGAACAUACAGAAUUGUUUGUUAAACAAUGUUUAUUGCGGAAACCGCAGUCGUAAGUGUGCCUUGAGGGCGUGGACAUCUGUUGAAUUAUCGCGAAUUGAGCAUUCGUUUCUAAAACUCGUUUUUCUCUCCUCCGCUUACGUUAAAACUCUGAAACAGAAAAGAUAUAAGUUAAACUGUUCUAAUUGAUUUCGAAAGAAGCGUCAGUAACGCUGGUUGUUUCGUGACAACACCCGGUUAUUAAAUAAACCCUUCUAGCUAAUGGCUGUUACAGCUCGCAUAUGAUUGGAAGUUCACGGUUUUCAGCGUUCUGAGCCACUCGAGCAGACAUAAAAACACCAGCAAUUGUGGAAUAAUCAUCUCUGAAAUCCUAUCCAUUUGGUGCUAACAACAAAAACAAAACUAACUGCGCCUGAAAAAGGUGCUUUUGAAAAUGACGAGUUUACCUCCCAUUGACCUUCCACCCAUUAUAUCCCCGACGAAGAAAGCUCUUCGUUACUUUCUAGAGAAGAAAGAAGAUGAACUUAAACAGUUGAAUGAACGCCUUGACGUUUACAUUAAAAAAGUCAAAACUUUGGAGGAUUCGAACAGCCACCUGACAGACGAGAAGAAGAAGUUGAUAGCCGAGAUCACUGUAUUGAAGAUGAGCAAAGAAAAGGAGAUUAAGCAGUUUGAAUCGAGGCUAGAGGAUGCAAAUCGACUGUACGACGAGAUUUUAAGAGAGAGAGCCCACCUUCAUACCGAGAACAGGAAAAACGCGGCACUGGCUGAUGAAUACAAGAAGAAGUAAGUAAUAUUAUGUCUUUUACACACUUUUCUUGUGUUUUAUAGUAACAGACUGGGUGUCAUCCUAAUGCACAACACAGCAGUUCUCUUGACAAGUACAUUUUAUUGUGUGUAGUGAUAAGAAUUUCUUUCUCGCUCCAAGUUGUAAAAAUAUUCCACGAUGAGUUCUAUUUCCUAGUUUGUGGCAAUCGGCGAUAAGCCCGCAAAAAUUUAUCGUAGCUGUACUCUAAGGUGUUUCAAAACUGGACUAUUGUGUACUACUGUGCAAGACGUCGCGAAAGGGUUUAGCUUCCCUUCUGUGUUGCCAUUACUAUGUUAGGCAUGUCUAACUGCCUAGCUGCCAAUCAAAUGCGGGAUCAAACCGCAAGGAAUUGACAUGCACUCACGCAUUAUUGUGCGAACCAGAAAACCGUGGACUCUUUGUAAUGGCUUUGACAUGUUAAUUGGAUAGCUACCAAUCAGAUAUGAGAUCAAACUGUUAGGUGCAUAACCGUCGGUUGAAGCCCGGUCCUCACUUGCGACGCAAGCAGAAGCACAGGCAUGAGAAGCUUAUGUGCUAGUGGGGACGGCCACGACAUAAGCAUAAGCGUUCUUCUCGGUGUUCUAUCCAGUGAAGACAUGGUUGGCAUAAGCAUAAAUUUAAGUGCUUGCUGAUUGGCUGAACUCUUUCGCUUAUAGAUCGUUUUGAAUAUCGAAAUCUUCAUUUCAGGACAGACGGGAAAGUUUAUUUUUGAAGCAAUAAAUGAAUUCAGAUAUCCAUUAAAUUUACCAUGGAAUUUAUUACUUCAUUUCUGAGUUCACUGUUUUAGCCUUCGACUCUGUAUUUAACAAACAGACGAGCCCGCGUAUUCUAUACCUAAUAACAGUAGCAUAAUUUAGCAGAACUUGUAUUUUAAUUGCAAUGACUUGCCACAUUAUGCGAAGUUAAUGUGCCUACUCCAUCACGUCCAGCUUAUUCGCUAGCAGCACUGUACGAGACUUACGGAUUGUUUUUAUAAUUGUAUUGACAAUUAAUACUUGCUAAUAGGCGGCUACUAAACUUUCUUGUCACCUCAAAGGCUUGAUAAACAGAUCGAAGCGCACAAGGUGACUGAAGAUGCCUUGAAAACUGCUCAGUGGCAACUUUCUGAAAAAGAAGGACAGCUAGUGGCAAGAAAUCAGGAAAUUAAGAACUUAGAAGUUAAAAUACUGGAGCUAAUGAAAGAGCGCCAAGAACUGAAGGACGCCUUGGAAGUAACUAAAUUCGACCUUGAACAAGAGACCCUCUUAAAGAUGGACCUUGAAAGCAAAUUACUGUCCAAGGAAACAGAACUGGUUUCUAUGAAGGAAACAUACGAAAAGGAUAUAGUUGGGAUCCGCGGCCAGUUACGAAUCGCAGAGGCAAAGCGCUUUGAAGUUGAAUCGAAAAUGAAGACACGUUAUGAAGAAAUGUUGGCCCAACAGCUGCAAGAACUGAGGAACGAACUUGAGACACGUCACAAUUCAAAGGUAGAGAGAAAUACAGUGCAACCUCUCCUUACGGACACCUUUCUUUUACGGACAAAAAUUCACUUCUUAAUUUGAUUCCAAAAAACCGGAUUUCGUAAGCCUCUCAUCUAAUACAGACAUUGACCUCUGCGCCUUAUUCUUGAAAGAUGAAGGGAAUAUCUUCUGCGGUUCCAAACACCGAGAAAUUAAGAGAGGAUUAAGAGUUUAUUCCCUAAGAAGGCCUUGUAUACCCAACGUAAUCCCCUCUCAAGGUAUUCUCUCUCACCACUGGUUUCCGAAAUUUCCCAAUUCCUUCCCCACGUGGGGAAGGAACGCGUGACGAGCCCUAAGAGCGUCUGCGUGGGAGGCUUCCCCCAGUUGGGAUUCUUAAUAGUUUACGUUCUAUGUGCAAUAUUUGGCUGUUUAUUUUCAGUGUCCUCACUUAUAGCACAGUAGGGUUAAAUACAUUUGACACUUAAAUAAAGCCAUUUAUUUCGUGGAGGCAGCGUGGCCGAGUGG